GACGUAGGGGGCAAGCGUUGCUCGGAAUUACUGGGCGUAAAGGGUUCGUAGGCGGUGCGGCAAGUCGGAAGUGAAAUCUCUGGGCUCAACUCAGAGGCUGCUCCCGAAACUGCCGUGCUAGAGUGCGGGAGAGGCGAGUGGAAUUACAGGUGUAGCGGUGAAAUGCGUAGAUAUCAGGAGGAACACCUGCGGUGUAGACGGCUUUCUGGACCAUUGUUGACGCUGAGACACGAAAGCGUGGGUAGCAAACAGG
rnacentral:rRNA from 1 species